rnacentral:rRNA from 1 species
CAGCAGCCGCGGUAAUGCGUAGGGUGCAAGCGUUAAUCGGAAUUACUGGGCGUAAAGCGUGCGCAGGCGGUUAUGCAAGACAGAGGUGAAAUCCCCGGGCUCAACCUGGGAACUGCCUUUGUGACUGCAUGGCUAGAGUACGGUAGAGGGGGAUGGAAUUCCGCGUGUAGCAGUGAAAUGCGUAGAUAUGCGGAGGAACACCGAUGGCGAAGGCAAUCCCCUGGACCUGUACUGACGCUCAUGCACGAAAGCGUGGGAAGCAAACAGGAUUAGAUACCCUGGUAGUCCACGCCCUAAACGAUGUCAACUGGUUGUUGGGAGGGUUUCUUCUCAGUAACGUAGCUAACGCGUGAAGUUGACCGCCUGGGGAGUACGGCCGCAAGGUUGAAACUCAAAGGAAUUGACGGGGACCCGCACAAGCGGUGGAUGAUGUGGUUUAAUUCGAUGCAACGCGAAAAACCUUACCUACCCUUGACAUGCCAGGAAUCCUGAAGAGAUUUGGGAGUGCUCGAAAGAGAGCCUGGACACAGGUGCUGCAUGGCCGUCGUCAGCUCGUGUCGUGAGAUGUUGGGUUAAGUCCCGCAACGAGCGCAACCCUUGUCAUUAGUUGCUACGAAAGGGCACUCUAAUGAGACUGCCGGUGACAAACCGGAGGAAGGUGGGGAUGACGUCAGGUCAUCAUGGCCCUUAUGGGUAGGGCUACACACGUCAUACAAUGGCCGGGACAGAGGGCUGCCAACCCGCGAGGGGGAGCUAAUCCCAGAAACCCGGUCGUAGUCCGGAUCGUAGUCUGCAACUCGACUGCGUGAAGUCGGAAUCGCUAGUAAUCGCGGAUCAGCUUGCCGCGGUGAAUACGUUCCCGGGUCUUGUACACACCGCCCGUCAAAC